rnacentral:rRNA from 1 species
GUGGGGAAUAUUGGACAAUGGGGGGAACCCUGAUCCAGCCAUGCCGCGUGUGUGAAGAAGGCCUUUUGGUUGUAAAGCACUUUAAGCGAGGAGGAGGCUACCGAGAUUAAUACUCUUGGAUAGUGGACGUUACUCGCAGAAUAAGCACCGGCUAACUCUGUGCCAGCAGCCGCGGUAAUACAGAGGGUGCAAGCGUUAAUCGGAUUUACUGGGCGUAAAGCGCGUGUAGGUGGCCAAUUAAGUCAAAUGUGAAAUCCCCGAGCUUAACUUGGGAGUUGCAUUCGAUACUGGUUGGCUAGAGUAUGGGAGAGGAUGGUAGAAUUCCAGGUGUAGCGGUGAAAUGCGUAGAGAUCUGGAGGAAUACCGAUGGCGAAGGCAGCCAUCUGGCCUAAUACUGACACUGAGGUGCGAAAGCAUGGGGAGCAAACAGGAUUAGAUACCCGAGUAGUCC